UGAUCAGGAGAGGGACCUACCCGGUUACCAAACCCAGUCAAACUCCGAAUGGCUGCAAUCAUACCUGGGAGUCAGACUGCGACUAAUAAGGGCCGUAGUCAAAAGGGAAACAGCCCAGACCAUCAGCUAAGGUCCCCAAUGCCGUGCUAAGUGGCAAAGGAUGUGGCAUUUCAUAAACAACCAGGAUGUUGGCUCAGAAGCAGCCACCAUUUAAAGAGUGCGUAAUAGCUCACUGGUCGAGAGACGCUGCGCCGAAAAUGUCCGGGGCUCAAGCACGGAACCGAAGCUAUGGCAUGAUAGCAAUAUCAUGGGUAGGGGAGCGUUCUUAUAAGGAAGAAGCAUGACCGGAAGGACAUGUGGACGAAUAAGAAGUGAGAAUGCCGGUAUGAGUAUCGAAAAGAAAGGUGAGAAUCCUUUCCACCGAAAGCCCGAGGGUUCCUGAGCAACGAUCGUCGACUCAGGGUAAGUCGGGACCUAAGCCGAGGCGAGAAGCGUAGGCGAUGGACAACAGGUUGAAAUUCCUGUACCGGAUCAAGUCGAUCGAGCGAAGGAGCGACGCAGGAGGGCACAUGAUCGCGCGGCUGGAAGAGCGCGUCCAAGUGCGUAUGUUGCAGCAGAGGAAAACCCCUGCAGCUAAAAGCAGAGACAUGAUGGGGAGUUAAAGGAAACUUUGACGAACUCAUGGAUCCCACACUGCCAAGAAAAACUUCUAGCGAGACAAGAUCCGCCCGUACCGUAAACCGACACAGGUAGGCGGGGAGAGAAUCCUAAGGUGCGCGGGAAAACCCUCGUUAAGGAACUCGGCAAAUUGCAUCCGUAACCUAGGGAGAAGGAUGGCCCCCGGUCAGUGAAGAGCAGAAACGCUCAGAGCUAAAAGGGGCGGCAGAAAAGAGGCCCAAGCAACUGUUUACCAAAAACACAGGUGCCUGCGAAAGCGAAAGCUGAAGUAUAGGUGCUGACGCCUGCCCGGUGCCGGAAGGUUAAGGAGAGAAGUUAGCGAAAGCGAAGCAUCGAACUGAAGCCCCGGUGAACGGCGGCCGUAACUAUAACGGUCCUAAGGUAGCGAAAUUCCUUGUCGGGUAAGUUCCGACCCGCAUGAAAGGCGUAAUGAUUUGGGCACUGUCUCAACGAGGGGCCCGGUGAAAUUGAAAUACCUGUGAAGAUGCAGGUUACCCGCGACUGGACAGAAAGACCCCAUGGAGCUUCACUGCAGCUUGAGAUUGAAUCCCGGUGACAGAUGCACAGGAUAGGUGGGAGGCGCCGAAGCAUUGCCCUAGGGCGGUGCGGAGCCGAUGUUGGGAUACCACCCUUCUGUUGCUGAGAUUCUAACGCGAGGAGUAACGACCCUGCGGACCCUCUCAGGCAGGCGGUUUGACUGGGGCGGUCGCCUCCGAAAGAGUAACGGAGGCGCCCAAAGGUUCCCUCAGGCCGGACAGAAACCGGCCGAAGAGUGCAAAGGCAGAAGGGAGCUUGACUGCGAGACCAACAAGUCGAGCAGGGACGAAAGUCGGGCUUAGUGAUCCGGUGGUACUGGGUGGAAAGGCCAUCGCUCAACGGAUAAAAGCUACCCUGGGGAUAACAGGCUAAUCUCUCCCAAGAGUUCAUAUCGACGGGGAGGUUUGGCACCUCGAUGUCGGCUCAUCACAUCCUGGGGCUGGAGUAGGUCCCAAGGGUUGGGCUGUUCGCCCAUUAAAGUGGUACGCGAGCUGGGUUCAAAACGUCGUGAGACAGUUUGGUUCAUAUCCAUCGCGGGCGCAAGAAGUUUGAGAGGAGCUGCUCCUAGUACGAGAGGACCGGAGUGGACGGAUCAACGGUGUCCCAGUUGUCACGCCAGUGGCACGGCUGGAAAGCCGCAUCCGGGAAGGAUAAACGCUGAAAGCAUCUAAGCGUGAAGCCAACCUCAAGAUGAGACUUCUCAUCAGCAAUGAGUAAGACCCCUUACAGACGAUGAGGUAGAUAGGUUAUGAGUGGAAGAGCCGCAAGGCUUGGAGCGACAUAAAACUAAUAGGUCGAGGUCUUAACUUA
rnacentral:rRNA from 1 species